AUGGACAUGGCGGGUCCAAGAUGGAAGAAGGGCAAAGACGGCAAGGACUUUGCAGCUCUGGCAGCAGCUCACCCCAUGUCAAGCAUUGUUGCUGAGCUCCAGUCCUCGCUGAAAGGCUCGAAACUUGUGGCAACUUUAUCUAGUCGGGGCAGGGAUGCGACCCUCGGUGUGAAUCUGCAGCAAGCUUUACUUCUUAACCGUGCUGCCUUUGGCCGCGUGCUGGAUACUGCCGAAGCAGAGAAACCGUGGUUCCAGCUGGGGGCUGAGGAGGUCUUCUAUCUUUACCAUGGUUUGAAGUGCAUCUCAGUGUCGGAGAGCAAGAAGCUGUUGAGUGAAGGGGAGCUGUGGGAUCACUUAUGCUCCGCAUCAGAGUCAUUUCCUGAGAUGUACAAGGCAUACUCACAUCUCAGAUCGAAGAACUGGGUGGUGCGGUCAGGUUUGCAGUAUGGCGCAGAUUUUGUAGCUUACCGUCAUCACCCAGCACUCGUCCACUCAGAGUUUGCUGUGGUUGUAGUUCCAGAAGGAGUGGAGUUCGGCGGUAGGUGUGGCCGCCUAAUGUUGUGGUCUGACCUUCUGUGUGCACUCCGAGCCUCUGGCAGUGUGGCCAAGACAUUGUUGGUUCUGACAGUCUCCAGCAGUAUUUGUGAACUGAGCUCCCCAGACUGUUUAGAACAACUGGUUGUUCAUGAGAGAACAAUUACUAGGUGGAUAGCCCAGCAGUGCCGUGAGCAGCGAUGUGAACCAUCCAGAGAAGAAGCAAAUAAGGAAGAACAGGAUCACACACGAGAAAGAGUAGUUUUCAACUAUUGGGGUGUAAUACUAGGCUUCACAGUUCUUUCUAGCUUACUUGUAUACAAACUGAUAUUCUGA
rnacentral:rRNA from 1 species